GAUGAACGCUGGCGGCGUGCCUAAUACAUGCAAGUCGAGCGAACAGAUGAGGAGCUUGCUCCUCUGACGUUAGCGGCGGACGGGUGAGUAACACGUGGAUAACCUACCUAUAAGACUGGGAUAACUUCGGGAAACCGGAGCUAAUACCAGAUAAUAUAUUGAACCGCAUGGUUCAAUAGUGAAAGACGGUUUUGCUGUCACUUAUAGAUGGAUCCGCGCCGCAUUAGCUAGUUGGUAAGGUAACGGCUUACCAAGGCAACGAUGCGUAGCCGACCUGAGAGGGUGAUCGGCCACACUGGAACUGAGACACGGUCCAGACUCCUACGGGAGGCAGCAGUAGGGAAUCUUCCGCAAUGGGCGAAAGCCUGACGGAGCAACGCCGCGUGAGUGAUGAAGGUCUUCGGAUCGUAAAACUCUGUUAUUAGGGAAGAACAAAUGUGUAAGUAACUAUGCACGUCUUGACGGUACCUAAUCAGAAAGCCACGGCUAACUACGUGC
rnacentral:rRNA from 1 species